rnacentral:lncRNA from 1 species
UUCAGAAAUAGUAAUUAUAUUUUUAAAGAGUUUGGGGAAAAUAGAAGUGUAUACUCUAAUCUUAUAGCAAAGUUUCUGCUAAGUUUUUGUGAUGCCAGUGUUUUCAUUAUGAAUCAUUUCACUGUCAAACAAAAUGUACGCUGUUGAUUAAACAGAGGCAAAAAGAGACGGAAAGAAAAAGGUAUAUUAAAAAAAAGACCUUUGGUUAUUCUGGCUGCCACCAAUUGCUUUCUUGUUUCAGCUGAAUUUUGAAGUAGCUAAUCAUAUUUUGGCAUUUUCUUGUCAUCAAAGCAUUUCGUGAAAUUAUCCCAUUACAAUGUUUUUCUCAGAGGCA